GAGCACUGUUUCGGCUAGGGGGCCAUCCCGGCUUACCAACCCGAUGCAAACUGCGAAUACCGGAGAAUGUUAUCACGGGAGACACACGGCGGGUGCUAACGUCCGUCGUGAAGAGGGAAACAACCCAGACCGCCAGCUAAGGUCCCAAAGUCAUGGUUAAGUGGGAAACGAUGUGGGAAGGCCCAGACAGCCAGGAUGUUGGCUUAGAAGCAGCCAUCAUUUAAAGAAAGCGUAAUAGCUCACUGGUCGAGUCGGCCUGCGCGGAAGAUGUAACGGGGCUAAACCAUGCACCGAAGCUGCGGCAGCGACGCUUAUGCGUUGUUGGGUAGGGGAGCGUUCUGUAAGCCUGUGAAGGUGGCCUGUGAGGGUUGCUGGAGGUAUCAGAAGUGCGAAUGCUGACAUAAGUAACGAUAAAGCGGGUGAAAAGCCCGCUCGCCGGAAGACCAAGGGUUCCUGUCCAACGUUAAUCGGGGCAGGGUGAGUCGACCCCUAAGGCGAGGCCGAAAGGCGUAGUCGAUGGGAAACGGGUUAAUAUUCCCGUACUUGGUGUUACUGCGAAGGGGGGACGGAGAAGGCUAUGUUGGCCGGGCGACGGUUGUCCCGGUUUAAGCGUGUAGGUGUGUGUUCCAGGUAAAUCCGGUU
rnacentral:rRNA from 1 species